rnacentral:rRNA from 1 species
CUACGGGAGGCACCAGUAGGGAAUAUUGCGCAAUGGACGAAAGUCUGACGCAGCAACGCCGCGUGGGUGAUGAAGCUUCUUGGAGUGUAAAACCCUGUCAGUGGGGAAGAACCGUACCGGGAGUUACUGCCCGGUGCCUGACGGUACCCACAGAGGAAGCACCGGCUAACUCCGUGCCAGCAGCCGCGGUAAUACGGGGGGUGCAAGCGUUGUUCGGAUUCACUGGGCGUAAAGGGCGUGUAGGCGGGCUAUCAAGUCGGAUGUGAAAACUGGCAGCUUAACUGCCAGCCUGCAUUCGAUACUGAUGGUCUUGAGUACAGGAGAGGAAAGCGGAAUUCCAGGUGUAGCGGUGGAAUGCGUAGAUAUCUGGAAGAACACCAGAAGCGAAGGCGGCUUUCUGGCCUGAUACUGACGCUGAAACGCGAAGGCUAGGGGAGCAAACAGGAUUAGAUACCCCAGUAGUC